rnacentral:lncRNA from 1 species
AUUUGCUCAUUACUUGUUUGAUGGGAUGCUCUUUAGUUACUAAUUAAUUACCACAAAAAUGUAAGUUGUAAUUGUUAUGGAUGAAAAAUACUUUAUAAAAUUGACACUAUUUUAUGAUUCUAGACUUUUGUUGAAGUUAGGAGGCUCAUGUUGGAUACUUGUUGCACUGAAUUUUUUUUUUCUGGUGGUGUCAAUUAUAGUUAGAAAUUUAGCCUGGUGCAGUGCAUUUAUAUUGUAACAUUGUAUUCCUGCAUACUGUUGUCAUUGUUGUGGAUGAGAAGUACUUUAUUAAAUUGACAUUACUUUAUGAUGUUAGGUUUUUGUCAAGGUUAGGAUGCUCAUGUUGGAUAGAACUCNNNNNNNNNNNNNNNNNNNNNNUGUCCAGCUAUUUUUAGAGCAAUUUUGUUGCAUUUUAUGUGUAUAUCCUGGGUUUAAUGCUUAGAGGUGGAUCAUGUUCUUAGUUGAUUUUGUUAGGCGAUUAGAAGUGGUAGUCUGUACACCUUGUGGAUGUUAUAUGGUAUUGUGGCACUUGCAGGCUAGUUUUGUUUUGGAUAUAUCCCUGCUAGUGCAGUGUAAAUACCCCUCUUAACUAUUAAGUUUUUGUGAUUUUCUUAUAAUCUCUUAGUCAUAAUACUUUUUAUACUUUUGAACUCCUAUAUUAUGCUCAAGUUAUAUCAUAGUGAUACUUGAUUCAAUGCAGAUUUUUGCUACGAGUGCUUUUCCUUGUCCAUAUCUACACAAUCAUUCGGAUAUCUAUUUCAGGAUCAUAAACAGGUUUGAAAUGCUAAGGAAACUUUGAAUUUGGCUAAUUUUUAUUUGGUAGAUUAUCUUUCUAAUUAAGAAACUGCAGUGGAAAACUUGAAAAUAUUUGAGGAUUAUCGUCUAGCUUUAGGUGUUUCCUAUGUUUGUAGCAAUCAGAACAUGGCUAUCUUCAGUUUCUUCUUUCCCCUUUUAAUUCUUUGCUAUUUAAUAUACAGGUUAAACCGAAAGUGAUGUAAAAGAUACAUAAAGGAAUUAGAGCUUAUAAAGACACUUCACAGAGAUCAAUCUAGAGAUGACAUAGACUAUGUAAGUCAUGAGCUAGAAACCUUAUAUGUUGGAUUAAGCUUCUACUAGCUAGGUAAGUUAAGUCUUGCAAUUGGUUUGGAUAUUAUGCUGUAGUUGAUACUUUGUAUAAUGCCAUUUGUUUUUGCAUUUGUGACCCACAUAGGCAUGCUUUGUACCUGUGGUUAGAUCAGACUAAAAAUAAAAUAGCUCGUUUUUAGUUGAUGACAUCUAUUAAGUUGAGUUUAUAACUUAUAUAUAUUUUUUUUCGAUAGGUUCAAGACCAAACAAAUUAUCCAAGUCCACACAUUGAUGAAGAUGGAAGAGAUGAAGAUUAGAAGCUAAUUAUAUUUCGACGAAUUAGCUUUAGUUACUUUUCGUUAUGUAUUUUUGAUAUUAUGUAGUGCCACAGUGGUGCAUUUGAUACUUUGUAAGAACGACAAAUUUUUAUGUUAAUGUUACAAAUUUGGUGUUGAUCAAAAUUUGAUUUUUUCACAUU